rnacentral:rRNA from 1 species
ACAGUGGACGCGAGCAUCUGUGGCCAAGUUUUUAAGGGCGCACGGUGGAUGCCUUGGCACCAGGAACCGAUGAAGGACGUGGGAGGCCACGAUAGUCCCCGGGGAGCUGUCAACCAAGCUUUGAUCCGGGGGUUUCCGAAUGGGGAAACCCGGCAGUCGUCAUGGGCUGUCACCCGCUGCUGAACACAUAGGCAGUGUGGAGGGAACGAGGGGAAGUGAAACAUCUCAGUACCCUCAGGAAGAGAAAACAACCGUGAUUCCGGGAGUAGUGGCGAGCGAAACUGGAUGAGGCCAAACCGUAUGCGUGUGAUACCCGGCAGGGGUUGCGCAUGCGGGGUUGUGGGAUCUCUCUUUCACAGUCUGCCGGCUGUGAGGCGAGUCAGAAACCGUUGAUGUAGGCGAAGGACAUGCGAAAGGUCCGGCGUAGAGGGUAAGACCCCCGUAGCUGAAACAUUGACGGCUCGUUUGAGAGACACCCAAGUAGCACGGGGCCCGAGAAAUCCCGUGUGAAUCUGGCGGGACCACCCGCUAAGCCUAAAUAUUCCCUGGUGACCGAUAGCGGAUAGUACCGUGAGGGAAUGGUGAAAAGUACCGCGGGAGCGGAGUGAAAUAGUACCUGAAACCGUGUGCCUACAAGCCGUGGGAGCGUCGCUGGCAGCACUUGUGCUGUCAGUCGUGACUGCGUGCCUUUUGAAGAAUGAGCCUGCGAGUUAGCGGUGUGUAGCGAGGUUAACCCGUGUGGGGAAGCCGUAGCGAAAGCGAGUCCGAAUAGGGCGUUUGAGUUGCACGCUCUAGACCCGAAGCGGAGUGAUCUAGCCAUGGGCAGGUUGAAGCGGAGGUAAGACUUCGUGGAGGACCGAACCCACCAGGGUUGAAAACCUGGGGGAUGACCUGUGGUUAGGGGUGAAAGGCCAAUCAAACUCCGUGAUAGCUGGUUCUCCCCGAAAUGCAUUUAGGUGCAGCGUCGUGUGUUUCUUGCCGGAGGUAGAGCACUGGAUAGGCGAUGGGCCCUACCGGGUUACUGACCUUAGCCAAACUCCGAAUGCCGGUAAGUGAGAGCGCGGCAGUGAGACUGUGGGGGAUAAGCUCCAUGGUCGAGAGGGAAACAGCCCAGAGCAUCGACUAAGGCCCCUAAGCGUACGCUAAGUGGGAAAGGAUGUGGAGUCGCAGAGACAACCAGGAGGUUGGCUUAGAAGCAGCCACCCUUGAAAGAGUGCGUAAUAGCUCACUGGUCAAGUGAUUCCGCGCCGACAAUGUAGCGGGGCUCAAGCGUACCGCCGAAGUCGUGUCAUUCCAGCAUGAGGGCCAACGCCCGCUGGGAUGGGUAGGGGAGCGUCGUGUGCCGGGUGAAGCAGCCGCGGAAGCGAGUUGUGGACGGUUCACGAGUGAGAAUGCAGGCAUGAGUAGCGAUACACACGUGAGAAACGUGUGCGCCGAUUGACUAAGGGUUCCUGGGUCAAGCUGAUCUGCCCAGGGUAAGUCGGGACCUAAGGCGAGGCCGACAGGCGUAGUCGAUGGACAACCGGUUGAUAUUCCGGUACCCGCUUUGAAACGCCCAGUACUGAAUCAGGCGAUGCUAAGUCCGUGAAGCCGGCCUGAUCUCUUCGGAGUUGAGGGUAGUGGUGGAGCCGAUGAACCAGACUUGUAGUAGGUAAGCGAUGGGGUGACGCAGGAAGGUAGUCCAGCCCGGGCGGUGGUUGUCCCGGGGUAAGGGUGUAGG